rnacentral:rRNA from 1 species
UGGAUCCAGACUUUGAUUCUGGCUCAGGACGAACGCUGGCGGCGUGCUUAACACAUGCAAGUCGAACGAAGCUUGAUUUAUGAUUUCUUCGGAAUGAAUAAUGAUAUGACUGAGUGGCGGACGGGUGAGUAACGCGUGAGCAACCUGCCCUUCGGAGGGGGAUAGCGUCUGGAAACGGACGGUAAUACCGCAUAAAGUGUCUUGACCGCAUGAUCGAGAUACCAAAACUGAGGUGCCGAAGGAUGGGCUCGCGUUGGAUUAGAUAGUUGGUGGGGUAACGGCCUACCAAGUCGACGAUCCAUAGCCGGACUGAGAGGUUGAACGGCCACAUUGGGACUGAGACACGGCCCAGACUCCUACGGGAGGCAGCAGUGGGGAAUAUUGCACAAUGGGGGAAACCCUGAUGCAGCAACGCCGCGUGAAGGAAGACGGUUUUCGGAUUGUAAACUUCUGUUCUUAGUGAAGAAUAAUGACGGUAGCUAAGGAGCAAGCCACGGCUAACUACGUGCCAGCAGCCGCGGUAAUACGUAGGUGGCAAGCGUUGUCCGGAAUUACUGGGUGUAAAGGGAGCGCAGGCGGGAAGCCAAGUCAGCUGUGAAAACUACAGGCUUAACUUGUAGACUGCAGUUGAAACUGGUUUUCUUGAGUGAAGUAGAGGUUGGCGGAAUUCCGAGUGUAGCGGUGAAAUGCGUAGAUAUUCGGAGGAACACCGGUGGCGAAGGCGGCCAACUGGGCUUUAACUGACGCUGAGGCUCGAAAGUGUGGGGAGCAAACAGGAUUAGAUACCCUGGUAGUCCACACUGUAAACGAUGAUUGCUAGGUGUGGGGGGUCUGACCCCUUCCGUGCCGCAGCUAACGCAAUAAGCAAUCCACCUGGGGAGUACGACCGCAAGGUUGCAACUCAAAUGAAUUGACGGA